CCUACGGGUGGCAGCAGUGGGGAAUAUUGGGCAAUGGAGGCAACUCUGACCCAGCAACGCCGCGUGAAGGAUGAAGGUUUUCGGAUUGUAAACUUCUGUCGCGAGGGAUGAAGAAUGAAGGUAUCUCGUAAGAAAGCCACGGCAAAAUACGUGCCAGCAGCCGCGGUAAUACGGAGGGGGCGAGCGUUGUCAGGAAUGCCUGGGCGUAAAGGGAGUGUAGGCGGCAUAUUAAGUGAUGUGUGAAAGCCCGCGGCUCAACCGCGGAAUUGCACAUAAAACUGGUAAGCUGGAGUGCAGUAGAGGUAGGUGGAAUUCCCGGUGUAGCGGUGGAAUGCGUAGAUAUCUGGAGGAACACCAGAGGCGAAGGCGACUUACUGGACUGUAACUGACGCUGAGGCUCGAAAGCGUGGGGAGCAAACAGGAUUAGAUACCCUUGUAGUC
rnacentral:rRNA from 1 species